CCUUACAACAAGAGAAUUACAAUUCUCUUACAAGUGUAUACAACACUAAAACACACAAAUAAAAUACUCCUUAAUGAGUAGAUAUGAGUAAAAGACGUAAGCUCUGGAUCACAACAACAUUGGACAAGAAUAUGGCUCUCAAAAGCUUUAUGAAAUUGAAUAUAAAAUGAUAAACAAAAGUAUGCAAGCUUAUAGCAAUGUAAUNNN
rnacentral:lncRNA from 1 species